rnacentral:misc_RNA from 1 species
ACGCAUGACUACGAUGUGAAGAUGCGCAACGUGCUGAAGUUUCUCGAAAAGGGCGACAAGGUGAAGAUCACCCUGCGCUUCCGCGGCCGCGAGAUGGCGCACCAGAACCUCGGGCGCGAGCUGCUCGAGCGCGUCGCCGAAGACGUGAAGGAACUGGGCAAGGUCGAGAACAUGCCCAAGAUGGAAGGCCGCCAGAUGAUCAUGAUGAUCGGCCCCGUCGCCAAGUAAGCCCGGGCCUUUCGUCACCGGACACGAUUACCGAACCCGCCGCUUCGCCGGCGGGUUUUCUUUUUGGAGCCUUGAGAUGUGUCGGUUGGGA